AUUUUAUUGGAGAGUUUGAUCCUGGCUCAGGGUGAACGCUGGCGGCGUGCCUAAGACAUGCAAGUCGAGCGGGGCAGGUUUAUACCUGUUCAGCGGCGGACGGGUGAGUA
rnacentral:rRNA from 1 species